AUGGCUCCUCGCUCCACCUUUGACGCUGUCUGAGCGUGCGGUAACGGUGUGCUAGCGACAACUCUCUCGUCAGCGCAUGUGCUCACGCCUUCUGUUCACUGUAUUUGACACAGCAUCGCCCGCGCGCCGACGUCGCUCCGAAUGCCGGCACAAGUGCAGUUCACAGACCUGGACUCAGACGCACACACGCUUCCUUCGACGUGGCGCAGCCUUGCAGAUAUCAAAAAACACGUAUUUAGUCCGGGGUACGUUGUGGAGGGGGAGGCCGGCUGCUGCACCGGUGUGGCGGAGUCUGCCAGGCCACUCCUCGCUGCUGCCACUAUUGUUCUUUACGACUUCUUCGCUGAGAGGGUAUGCCGAAAGCGAAGUCGAGGCAAGGGGGCACCUGCUGCAUGCGCAGGCUGCGAUGACAGCGCGCCAGGCGGACACCGAAAAAAGAAAACAGUGCGACAUAGCUGCUGUAGUGCGACCUUGCGCAGCGCGGUCUUGGCGGUGCUGCACACCGCCCACGAAUCCAUCGGGAGCCCCGAGGCCGUCAGCCACGGUGGCUGUGUGGUGAUUGUGCACGUCAAAGCCACAAGAGAAGACGUGAGAUGCGCAUCACCAAAAACAGCAAGCCGCGUGCCCGUGUGGCUUGUGGACGGAGUGUGCGUAGCAGAAGACGUUCCUCGAGCUUAUCGAGCGGUGUGGACGAGCCCAGCGAUCUCAUCGGAGCCACCGACGCACUCGACCACUGAGGAUAACACUACAGUUGCUGCUGCCCUAGGCACUUCCGACUCUUCUUCUUGCCUCGUGACGGUGGAAGGUCAGCUGCGGGCGCAGGUGACACGCGUUGGCGACAGUUGGUGCACCGGAACUCCUUUGUGUGGUGUACGGCUCAUGUGGGUGUCACCGGCGUCACGCGGACGUGGGGUGGCCUAUUCGAUGAUUGAACGGGCCCGGCAUGCUGUGUGCUACGGAUUCGUGGUGCCACCGGAGCACGUCGCCUUCAGUGAGCCCACGGCGAUGGGCAGUGCCUUUGCUCGCCGGUACCAAGCGCGACAAGACUUCCUAGUGUACCAUUACUGAGCGUUCUCUGCUCUGCACGUCGUCGUCUCUCUCCGGAAGAGCGCACGCGCACAACUCCGUGACGUCCUUUAAACCGCAAAG
rnacentral:misc_RNA from 1 species